rnacentral:ncRNA from 1 species
AAGUUUUGCGCCAGUGCCUGGGUGUGAUACUCGCACGCGAAAAAAUGCGAAUGAAGGCGAGAGCUAUGGCGCAUCAUCGACCGAUCCUGAUGUAUUCGGAUGGAUUUGAGUAAGAGCGUAAAGCCU